rnacentral:rRNA from 1 species
UACGUAGUGUGCAAGCGUUACUCGGAAUUACUGGGCGUAAAGCGUGCGUAGGCGGUGUGUUAAGUCUGUCGUGAAAGCCCCGGGCUCAACCUGGGAAUGGCGAUGGAUACUGGCGCGCUAGAGUGCGGUAGAGGAGAGUGGAAUUCCCGGUGUAGCAGUGAAAUGCGUAGAGAUCGGGAGGAACACCGGUGGCGAAGGCGGCUCUCUGGACCAGCACUGACGCUGAGGCACGAAAGCGUGGGGAGCAAACAGG